UUUGUCCCACAUCGCUUGUGUGA
rnacentral:sRNA from 1 species